UUAAAUUGAAGAGUUUGAUCAUGGCUCAGAUUGAACGCUGGCGGCAGGCCUAACACAUGCAAGUCGAGCGGUAGCACAGAGAGCUUGCUCUCGGGUGACGAGCGGCGGACGGGUGAGUAAUGUCUGGGAAACUGCCUGAUGGAGGGGGAUAACUACUGGAAACGGUAGCUAAUACCGCAUAAUGUCGCAAGACCAAAGUGGGGGACCUUCGGGCCUCAUGCCAUCAGAUGUGCCCAGAUGGGAUUAGCUAGUAGGUGGGGUAACGGCUCACCUAGGCGACGAUCCCUAGCUGGUCUGAGAGGAUGACCAGCCACACUGGAACUGAGACACGGUCCAGACUCCUACGGGAGGCAGCAGUGGGGAAUAUUGCACAAUGGGCGCAAGCCUGAUGCAGCCAUGCCGCGUGUGUGAAGAAGGCCUCGGGUUGUAAAGCACUUUCAGCGGGGAGGAAGGCGUUAAGGUUAAUAACCUCAUCGAUUGACGUUACCCGCAGAAGAAGCACCGGCUAACUCCGUGCCAGCAGCCGCGGUAAUACGGAGGGUGCAAGCGUUAAUCGGAAUUACUGGGCGUAAAGCGCACGCAGGCGGUCUGUCAAGUCGGAUGUGAAAUCCCCGGGCUCAACCUGGGAACUGCAUUCGAAACUGGCAGGCUAGAGUCUUGUAGAGGGGGGUAGAAUUCCAGGUGUAGCGGUGAAAUGCGUAGAGAUCUGGAGGAAUACCGGUGGCGAAGGCGGCCCCCUGGACAAAGACUGACGCUCAGGUGCGAAAGCGUGGGGAGCAAACAGGAUUAGAUACCCUGGUAGUCCACGCCGUAAACGAUGUCGAUUUGGAGGUUGUGCCCUUGAGGCGUGGCUUCCGGAGCUAACGCGUUAAAUCGACCGCCUGGGGAGUACGGCCGCAAGGUUAAAACUCAAAUGAAUUGACGGGGGCCCGCACAAGCGGUGGAGCAUGUGGUUUAAUUCGAUGCAACGCGAAGAACCUUACCUGGUCUUGACAUCCACAGAACUUUCCAGAGAUGGAUUGGUGCCUUCGGGAACUGUGAGACAGGUGCUGCAUGGCUGUCGUCAGCUCGUGUUGUGAAAUGUUGGGUUAAGUCCCGCAACGAGCGCAACCCUUAUCCUUUGUUGCCAGCGGUCCGGCCGGGAACUCAAAGGAGACUGCCAGUGAUAAACUGGAGGAAGGUGGGGAUGACGUCAAGUCAUCAUGGCCCUUACGACCAGGGCUACACACGUGCUACAAUGGCAUAUACAAAGAGAAGCGACCUCGCGAGAGCAAGCGGACCUCAUAAAGUAUGUCGUAGUCCGGAUUGGAGUCUGCAACUCGACUCCAUGAAGUCGGAAUCGCUAGUAAUCGUAGAUCAGAAUGCUACGGUGAAUACGUUCCCGGGCCUUGUACACACCGCCCGUCACACCAUGGGAGUGGGUUGCAAAAGAAGUAGGUAGCUUAACCUUCGGGAGGGCGCUUACCACUUUGUGAUUCAUGACUGGGGUGAAGUCGUAACAAGGUAACCG
rnacentral:rRNA from 1 species